rnacentral:misc_RNA from 1 species
UUUUUUUUUAGAGGUUGGUUCAGACUUAUGAUUUGUUUUAUUUCCUAAACAACUGGCUCCUCUUUCUCUAAGGAGAAAAUAGAUGCCCUCAUAGGAUGCUUUUAGGAUGUUUUGGAGGAAUUUACAAAGCUAUGAAGUUUGGUAAUAAUGUAUGGUUAUUUAUUAAAAGAUGCCCUCAGUCUUUUAAUAAAUAACCAUACAUUAUUAC